rnacentral:rRNA from 1 species
UACGGGGGGGGGCAAGCGUUGUUCGGAAUUACUGGGCGUAAAGGGCUCGUAGGCGGCCAACUAAGUCAGACGUGAAAUCCCCUCGGCUUAACCGGGGAACUGCGUCUGAUACUGGAUGGCUUGAAUCCGGGAGAGGGAUGCGGAAUUCCAGGUGUAGCGGUGAAUGCGUAGAUAUCUGGAGGAACACCGGUGGCGAAGGCGGCAUCCUGGACCGGCAUUGACGCUGAGGAGCGAAAAGCGUGGGGGAGCAAACAGG